GUAGUCGGAUUCGCAUCAAUCCAUAUGUGUUGGGGUGGGUUGGAGUGGAACUUGAACUAAAUUCCACCCUAAUCCACUCCAACCCAUAUGAAUUGAGAUGAAUCCGACA
rfam:Sorghum bicolor cultivar BTx623 chromosome 1, whole genome shotgun sequence.